AGGUUCCAAUAAAGGCGGGAACAGAACAGACAGAAAAGAAUCCGUCAGAAGAAAUUCAACUACUGUUCGUGCACCAGAUGGUGAAGUAGAAAAGUUCGUAAAAACUUCUGCAGCUUGCAUCUGACAGAGAUGCAAAAAGAAUAAGAGAGCGGGCCUGAAAACAAGCAAAUUCAAGUCUUUCCUUCUUUUAGGGUACACUUGAGGAGUGUCCAGAUGUUUAUUAAUGUUUUAUUAAUGUAAUGUUAUGUUUCAAAUAAACAUGUAAACAUA